CGCUUAAAUUGGCUAAAUACAGGCUUUUUAUGAAUAUAUAAAACUAACAAUAAAGGCCAUCGUCAUGACUACGAAUCAGAAGGUUAGGGGUUCGACUCCCUUCGCGACCA
rnacentral:tRNA from 1 species